ACAAUGGAGAGUUUGAUCCUGGCUCAGGAUGAACGCUAGCGGCAGGCUUAACACAUGCAAGUCGAGGGGCAGCGCGAUGUAGCAAUACAUUGGCGGCGACCGGCGCACGGGUGCGUAACACGUAUGGAACUUGCCCUUUACUGGGAGAUAGCCCUCCGAAAGGAGGAUUAAUAUCCCAUAAUAAACGAGGUGGCAUCACUUUGUUUUGAAAGCUCCGGCGGUAAAGGAUGGCCAUGCGCACGAUUAGCUAGUUGGUGAGGUAAUGGCUCACCAAGGCUACGAUCGUUAGGGGGCCUGAGAGGGUUAUCCCCCACACUGGUACUGAGACACGGACCAGACUCCUACGGGAGGCAGCAGUGAGGAAUAUUGCGCAAUGGAGGCAACUCUGACGCAGCCAUGCCGCGUGCAGGAAGAAGGCGCUACGCGUUGUAAACUGCUUUUAACCGGGAAGAAACCCC
rnacentral:rRNA from 1 species